UACACUCCUGCGGGAGGCAGCAGUGGGGAAUAUUGGACAAUGGGCGCAAGCCUGAUCCAGCCAUGCCGCGUGAGUGAUGAAGGCCCUAGGGUUGUAAAGCUCUUUCACCGGAGAAGAUAAUGACGGUAUCCGGAGAAGAAGCCCCGGCUAACUUCGUGCCAGCAGCCGCGGUAAUACGAAGGGGGCUAGCGUUGUUCGGAAUUACUGGGCGUAAAGCGCACGUAGGCGGAUCGAUCAGUCAGGGGUGAAAUCCCAGGGCUCAACCCUGGAACUGCCUUUGAUACUGUCGAUCUGGAGUAUGGAAGAGGUGAGUGGAAUUCCGAGUGUAGAGGUGAAAUUCGUAGAUAUUCGGAGGAACACCAGUGGCGAAGGCGGCUCACUGGUCCAUUACUGACGCUGAGGUGCGAAAGCGUGGGGAGCAAACAGGAUUAGAUACCCGUGUAGCCCCAUG
rnacentral:rRNA from 1 species